rnacentral:rRNA from 1 species
GUGAGGAAUAUUGGUCAAUGGGCGAGAGCCUGAACCAGCCAAGUCGCGUGAAGGAAGAAGGAUCUAUGGUUCGUAAACUUCUUUUGCAGGGGAAUAAAGUACGGUACGUGUACCGUUUUGUAUGUACUCUGCGAAUAAGGAUCGGCUAACUCCGUGCCAGCAGCCGCGGUAAUACGGAGGAUCCAAGCGUUAUCCGGAUUUAUUGGGUUUAAAGGGUGCGCAGGCGGGUUGAUAAGUCAGCGGUGAAAGUUUGCAGCUUAACUGUAAAAUUGCCGUUGAAACUGUCGAUCUUGAGUGCAAAUGAGGUAAGCGGAAUGUGUUGUGUAGCGGUGAAAUGCUUAGAUAUAACACAGAACACCGAUUGCGAAGGCAGCUUACUGGGAUGCAACUGACGCUCAUGCACGAAAGCGUGGGGAUCAAACAGGAUUAGAUACCCCAGUAGUCC